CCUUGCCUGAAUCGGGUUUCGCGACGAACGGGCUUCCACCAUGAUGAAUAGCAGUUCGUUGUCGACGAAACCUGCACACUGCAAGG
rnacentral:pre_miRNA from 1 species